rnacentral:rRNA from 1 species
UCGAGGAUCUUCGGCAAUGGGCGCAAGCCUGACCGAGCGACGCCGCGUGUGCGACGAAGGCCUUCGGGUUGUAAAGCACUGUCGAGGGGGAGAAAAGCCCCGCAAGGGGUUUGAUCUAUCCCUGGAGGAAGCACGGGCUAAGUUCGUGCCAGCAGCCGCGGUAAGACGAACCGUGCGAACGUUGUUCGGAAUCACUGGGCUUAAAGGGCGCGUAGGCGGGCUGCCAAGUCUGGGGUGAAAUCCCACGGCUCAACCGUGGAACGGCCUGGGAUACUGGCGGCCUCGAGGGAGGUAGGGGCAUGCGGAACUAUGCGUGGAGCGGUGAAAUGCGUUGAUAUGCAUAGGAACUCCGGUGGCGAAGGCGGCGUGCUGGACCUCUUCUGACGCUGAGGCGCGAAAGCCAGGGGAGCGAACGG